UACGUAGGGUGCAAGCGUUUGUCCGGAAUUAUUGGGCGUAAAGAGCUCGUAGGCGGUUUGUCACGUCUGCCGUGAAAGUCCGGGGCUCAACUCCGGAUCUGCGGUGGGUACGGGCAGACUAGAGUGAUGUAGGGGAGACUGGAAUUCCUGGUGUAGCGGUGAAAUGCGCAGAUAUCAGGAGGAACACCGAUGGCGAAGGCAGGUCUCUGGGCAUUAACUGACGCUGAGGAGCGAAAGCAUGGGGAGCGAACAGG
rnacentral:rRNA from 1 species